GACGAACGCUGGCGGCGUGCUUAACACAUGCAAGUCGAACGGUAAGGCCCUUCGGGGUACACGAGUGGCGAACGGGUGAGUAACACGUGGGUGAUCUGCCCUGCACUUUGGGAUAAGCCUGGGAAACUGGGUCUAAUACCGAAUACACCCUGCUGGUCGCAUGGCCUGGUGGGGGAAAGCUUUUGCGGUGUGGGAUGGGCCCGCGGCCUAUCAGCUUGUUGGUGGGGUGAUGGCCUACCAAGGCGACGACGGGUAGCCGGCCUGAGAGGGUGUCCGGCCACACUGGGACUGAGAUACGGCCCAGACUCCUACGGGAGGCAGCAGUGGGGAAUAUUGCACAAUGGGCGCAAGCCUGAUGCAGCGACGCCGCGUGAGGGAUGACGGCCUUCGGGUUGUAAACCUCUUUCAAUAGGGACGAAGCGCAAGUGACGGUACCUAUAGAAGAAGCACCGGCCAACUACGUGCCAGCAGCCGCGGUAAUACGUAGGGUGCGAGCGUUGUCCGGAAUUACUGGGCGUAAAGAGCUCGUAGGUGGUUUGUCGCGUUGUUCGUGAAAACUCACAGCUUAACUGUGGGCGUGCGGGCGAUACGGGCAGACUGGAGUACUGCAGGGGAGACUGGAAUUCCUGGUGUAGCGGUGGAAUGCGCAGAUAUCAAGAGGAACACCGGUGGCGAAGGCGGGUCUCUGGGCAGUAACUGACGCUGAGGAGCGAAAGCGUGGGGAGCGAACAGGAUUAGAUACCCUGGUAGUCCACGCCGUAAACGGUGGGUACUAGGUGUGGGUUUCCUUCCUUGGGAUCCGUGCCGUAGCUAACGCAUUAAGUACCCCGCCUGGGGAGUACGGCCGCAAGGCUAAAACUCAAAGAAAUUGACGGGGGCCCGCACAAGCGGCGGAGCAUGUGGAUUAAUUCGAUGCAACGCGAAGAACCUUACCUGGGUUUGACAUGCACAGGACGCCGGCAGAGAUGUCGGUUCCCUUGUGGCCUGUGUGCAGGUGGUGCAUGGCUGUCGUCAGCUCGUGUCGUGAGAUGUUGGGUUAAGUCCCGCAACGGGCGCAACCCUUGUCUCAUGUUGCCAGCACGUUAUGGUGGGGACUCGUGAGAGACUGCCGGGGUCAACUCGGAGGAAGGUGGGGAUGACGUCAAGUCAUCAUGCCCCUUAUGUCCAGGGCUUCACACAUGCUACAAUGGCCGGUACAAAGGGCUGCGAUGCCGUGAGGUGGAGCGAAUCCUUUCAAAGCCGGUCUCAGUUCGGAUCGGGGUCUGCAACUCGACCCCGUGAAGUCGGAGUCGCUAGUAAUCGCAGAUCAGCAACGCUGCGGUGAAUACGUUCCCGGGCCU
rnacentral:rRNA from 1 species